rnacentral:rRNA from 1 species
GAUGAACGCUGGCGGCGUGCCUAAUACAUGCAAGUCGAGCGAAUGGAUUAAGAGCUUGCUCUUAUGAAGUUAGCGGUGGACGGGUGAGUAACACGUGGGUAACCUGCCCAUAAGACUAGGAUAACUCCGGGAAACCGGGGCUAAUACCGGAUAACAUUUUGAACCGCAUGGUUCGAAAUUGAAAGGCGGCUUCGGCUGUCACUUAUGGAUGGACCCGCGUCGCAUUAGCUAGUUGGUGAGGUAACGGCUCACCAAGGCAACGAUGCGUAGCCGACCUGAGAGGGUGAUCGGCCACACUGGGACUGAGACACGGCCCAGACUCCUACGGGAGGCAGCAGUAGGGAAUCUUCCGCAAUGGACGAAAGUCUGACGGAGCAACGCCGCAUGAGUGAUGAAGGCUUUCGGGUCGUAAAACUCUGUUGUUAGGGAAGAACAAGUGCUAGUUGAAUAAGCUGGCACCUUGACGGUACCUAACCAGAAAGCCACGGCUAACUACGUGCCAGCCGCCGCAGUAA